AACGCUGGCGGCAGGCUUAACACAUGCAAGUCGAGCGCCCCGCAAGGGGAGCGGCAGACGGGUGAGUAACGCGUGGGAACGUACCCUUUUCUACGGAAUAACCCAGGGAAACUUGGACUAAUACCGUAUGUGCCCUUCGGGGGAAAGAUUUAUCGGAAAAGGAUCGGCCCGCGUUGGAUUAGCUAGUUGGUGGGGUAAAGGCCUACCAAGGCGACGAUCCAUAGCUGGUCUGAGAGGAUGAUCAGCCACAUUGGGACUGAGACACGGCCCAAACUCCUACGGGAGGCAGCAGUGGGGAAUAUUGGACAAUGGGCGCAAGCCUGAUCCAGCCAUGCCGCGUGAGUGAUGAAGGCCCUAGGGUUGUAAAGCUCUUUCACCGGUGAAGAUAAUGACGGUAACCGGAGAAGAAGCCCCGGCUAACUUCGUGCCAGCAGCCGCGGUAAUACGAANGGGGCUAGCGUUGUUCGGAUUUACUGGGCGUAAAGCGCACGUAGGCG
rnacentral:rRNA from 1 species